CAAAGCCAUGUGCUAGAUUUAUUGUAUAUUUUGAUCUAUUAGAAGAAAUUAUAUCCCAAAAUUGUAAGGAAAAAACCAAAACCCAAAUGUAUAUAAAAAAUAAGGUUAAAUAGAAUGAAGAGAUAAAAUAUGAAUAUAACAUGAAAAUUAAAAAAGAUUUUUCCAAAAAGUAUUGAUAAGAUAAGAAAGACUGAAAUAUCUUGGGGAAAAAGCUAUGAAUUGUAUGUGUUGCUUUAACCUAGCUCUGGAGCUCCACAGUUCUCAUUGAUUGGUGAGCUUGGUCUUAGCUGUAUGUUCUUACUGAUCUUCUGGGUGAAGGGCCUGUUGCUGUGAUUCUGAAAUGUAUUUGCCCAAGGCAGAAUUGCAGUGCCUUUUCCAGGGACCAGGCUAAGUAAUCUGCUCAGUUUUGGUCUUGGGAGCUUUUGUUCCCUGAAUGUUUUUCAUAGAGCUUUGGAGAAUGGGAAUGAAGAUGGCGGCCUGGAAGUCUCCAGCCAGGAGGAGCCAAGAACUCGAAGCUCCACUCCUCAAUGCGCCCUCAGAGAAAAGCCGUCAAUCCCUCCCGUCUCAUCGUCUCCAGCCACGGUCUGAACUUAUCUGGCCUGUGACCAAGCGUUUCUGUCUCUGGCGCAUGGCUCUGUUUGGAGUCUCCAAACCUAGCAGAUUCCUGCCACACGCUUCCACUCUGCUCCUCCCUGGAGGAAGAAGGCACGGUGUCUGCUCUCAGGUGCCAGAGCAGGUGUCUGUCUACCGGGUUCUGUUUGUCAGAUGAAUCUCGAUAUGACAAGGCCCCUAUCACCUGUAUUGGUGUCUCUGAGGAAAGCUUCUGCCGAUGCCUGCGAUGCUGUUUUCCUACUGAGGAUACUGAUUGUCCACCCAUCUCCACAUUGCCUGGACAAGAAGGUCGGCUCCAGAUGCCUUGUGCUCUCUACUCUCAGAAAUGGGGCUCCAAGUGUUCAGCUCAAUGGACCUCUUACUGGACCCCUGCUCUGCCUGUGCUAUGUUGUGCCAGCCCCAAGGAAAGAUGGUCAUUGGGCAUCAGUGGGUUUUUUGUUUCCAGCUUUGCCGGAGUGGAUCUGGAAGGCAUCCAUAUAUCAGUGCUCAGGGAACCAGAGAGUUCUGGACCCCCAAGGCUGGGCUGUGAAGCAUGUGUUUCCCAUCUAA
rnacentral:lncRNA from 1 species